rnacentral:rRNA from 1 species
GAUGAACGCUAGCGGGAGGCUUAACACAUGCAAGUCGAGGGGCAGCACGAGGUAGCAAUACUUUGGUGGCGACCGGCGCACGGGUGAGUAACGCGUAUGCAACCUACCCUGUACAGGGGGAUAACCCGGAGAAAUUCGGACUAAUACCCCAUAAAGAUAUUUAGCGGCAUCUUUGAAUAUUUAAAGUUCCGGCGGUACGGGAUGGGGAUGCGUAACAUUAGCUAGUUUGUAAGGUAACGGCUUAACCAGGCAAAGAUGUUUAGGGGUCUAUGAAGGGUGACCCCCCACACUGGUACUGAGACACGGACCAGACUCCUACGGGAGGCAGCAGUGAGGAAUAUUGGUCAAUGGGCGCAAGCCUGAACCAGCCAUCCCGCGUGAAGGAAGAAUGCGCUAUGCGUUGUAAACUUCUUUUCCAGGGGAAUAAAAUUUUGUACGUGUACGGAAUUGAAGGUACCCUGGGAAUAAGCAUCGGCUAACUCCGUGCCAGCAGCCGCGGUAAGAC